AGCAGCCGCGGUAAUUCCAGCUCCAAUAGCGUAUAUUAAAGUUGUUGCAGUUAAAAAGCUCGUAGUUGAAUUUCGAGACCGGUCUACUGGUCGUGCUUUUGUACGUACUGGUAUAAUCGGUUUCUCUCUUCUGACGAACUAUAAUGCCAUUAAUUUGGUGUUUUAGGGAAUCAGGACUGUUACUUUGAAAAAUUAGAGUGUUUAAAGCAGGCUCACGCUUGAAUACAUUAGCAUGGAAUAACGAAAUAGGACG
rnacentral:rRNA from 1 species